GUGACAUUGCGCCGAGGCUCUGAAGUGGGUAAUUGCAGACCACAGCUAGGCUGGAAUGCUGUGUUUGGGGUGGUCAUUAGAGUCGUGGUCUCUUUAGCGUUAUGAAGCCUACCUUGACUCCUAGGUGUUCAUUGUGAAUCUUGUUGGUGCUGGUAUCGCUGUACCUCUCAAAUAGCUUCCCCAUUUUGACUAAGAAUGAAGAACUUCUUGGACAAAGAACUUG
rnacentral:lncRNA from 1 species